ensembl:snRNA U2 U2 spliceosomal RNA
AUCUCUUCUCGGCCUUUUGGCUAAGAUCAAGUGUAUUAUCUGCUCUUAUCAGUUUAAUAUCUGAUACGUCUCCUAUCCGGGGACCAUAUAUUAAAUAGAUUUUUGGAAAAAGGAGAUGGAAUAGGAGCCUGCUCUGUCCACUCCACGCAUCAACCUGAUAUUGCAGUAUUUCCAGGAACGGUGCACUUCCU